CGACUAGCUACUGAAUCUUUGGUGUGUCAUCAAAGAUAAUGUAAAGGAAAAUAAUGAUAUUACUUUACUAUUAGUGUCGUCCAAAUACUCGUGCCAGAAGACUCGGUAAGGCGAGAGACGCAAACGUUAUUCGUCUUGAUCAGGCGUAAAGGGUGUGUAGGCUGCUUUAAGAAUUUAAAGCCAAUUUACUAUUUUAAGUCAAAUUAGACGUAAAAAAAUUUUCUCCUUUGGAAAUUUUGUUUAAUAAGAUUUAAAAUAUUGGCUAAAAUCAAUUAAAGCUAGAAUCUAAAGGAGGUUAAAACAAUACUUAAGGUAGGAGUACUAACCGUAAAUAAUAAGUAGAGUGCUAACGGCGAAGGCAUUUAUCCACUAAAGAUUGACGCUGAGAAACGAAAGUGAGGGCAGAAAAAAGGAUUAGAGACCCUUGUAUUCCUCACUGUCAACGAUGAAUGGUAGUUACUAGUUAGAAAUUAGCUGGAGACGAUGUUAACACGAAAACCAUUCCGCCUUGUGAGUACAACUGCAAAGUUGAAAACAAAAAAAUUAGUCGGUUUCGGAGCAAACGAAGUGAAGCAUGUUAUUUAUUG
rnacentral:rRNA from 1 species